GAGAGAUGAACCCUCGCCCAAGCUGUCUAAUUUCUGAUUUUUGUGUUCCUUAUACAAGCAAAAUCUCAAAGAAGUUCAAUAUACCAAAGAUUGUCUUCCAUGGCAUGUCUAGCUUUUGUCUUCUAUGUAUGCAUAUUUUGCGCAAGAACCUUGAGAUAUUGGAGAAUUUAAAGUCAGACGAAGAGUACUUCACCGUUCCUUAUUUUCCUGAUAAAGUUGAGUUCAGAAGACCUCAGGUUCCUGUAGAAACAUAUGUUCCUACAGGAGAGUUGAAGAAGUUGGCAGAGGAUAUAAUAGAAGCUGAUAAUACAUCAUAUGGUGUCAUAGUCAACACAUUUCAAGAGCUUGAGCCUGCUUAUGUCAAAGACUACAAGGAGGCUAGGUCCGGUAAAGCAUGGGCCAUUGGACCAGUUUCCUUGUGCAAUAAGGUGGGAGAAGACAAAGCUGAGAGGGGAAAAAAAUCAGACAUUGAUAAAGAUGAGUGUAUCAAAUGGCUUGAUUCUAAGGAACAUGGCUCGGUGCUCUACGUUUGCCUUGGAAGUAUAUGUAAUCUCCCUAUGGCUCAACUCAAGGAGCUUGGCCUAGGCCUAGAGGAGUCCAAAAGACCUUUUAUUUGGGUCAUAAGAGGUUGGGAGAAGUAUAAAGAGUUAGUUGAGUGGUUCUUGGAGAGCGGAUUUGAAGAAAGAAUUAAAGACAGAGGACUUCUCAUCAAAGGUUGGUCUCCACAAAUGAUCAUCCUCUCACAUGCUUCUGUUGGAGGGUUCUUAACGCACUGCGGAUGGAACUCAACUCUUGAAGGGAUACCCUCUGGUCUACCUCUGCUUACAUGGCCACUAUUUGCAGAUCAAUUUUGCAAUGAGAAACUGGUUGUGAAAGUACUAAAAACCAGUGUGAAAGUUGGGGUUGAGCAGCCUAUGAAACGGGGGGAAGAGGAGAAGAUAGGAGUGUUGGUGGAUGAAGAAGGAGUGAAGAAGGCAGUGGAGGAAUUAAUGGGUGAGAGUGAUGAUGCAAAAGAGAGAAGAAGAAGAGCCAAAGAGCUUGAAGAAUUAGCUCACAAGUCUGUGGAAGAAGGAGGCUCUUCUCAUUCUAACAUCACUUUACUCUUAGAAGACAUUAUGCAACUAGCACAAUCCAACAAUUGAUUACGUCAUUGUUAAAGGAACGUAAACACUUAUCUUUAUUUUUCCUUUAUUUGAAAACCGGGACUUAAUAGUCAACACGUCCAGCAUCAGACAAGUCGUGAUGACUUCCACUUUCUGAAUAUUGUAUAAUUUCUUUAUUAUGUUUUAAAGGCAACUUUAACGGUUUGGUCCUCAAAAAGAGGUUCUGAAUAAUAAAAUAUUGUUAGUUUAAUUGAUGUUGAUUAACAAAUUGUAAAUGAAAAGUAAAUUACAUGUUGGGACUAUUAUAGUUAGGUCUGAGAAGGAUCGUGUAUCCGAGCAAUUUUAAGGUAUCCGAAUCCGGAUCCUUAUCCGGCGGAUCUAUAAUUUUACUAUCUUUAUCUGGAUCCGGGGUUCUCGGAUAUCCGGAUGUCGGAUAUCCUUCUAAAAAUUGUAAUAUCUGGCGGAUAUCCGGAUCCGGAUUUGGAUUCUUAAAAUAAAUAAAAAAUAAUAUUAAUAUAUAUAAAAUAUGAACAAUAAUUUAAAAAUAAAAAUAUAUAAUGUUUUUAAUUAUUUCUAUGUAUAAUAUUAUAAAAUUUACAUAAAUUUAUAUAUACUAUUAUAAAAAUGAAAAUAUAUUAAAUAAAAUUAAUUUUUAUAUAUAGAUAUUACUAUUUUUGGAAUAUUUAUUAAUAAAACUUACGGAUCCGGAUAUCCGGACUAAAAAAUUAAGAUAUCCGGAUCCGGAUCCGGCUUUGACGGAUCCAACAUUUUACUAUCCGGAUCCGGAUUCGGUCCCUCCGGAUUUCCGGAUUUUCGGAUCGUAUCCGGAUCGAAUCUCGGAUCGAAUCCGGAUCUCGGAUAAAAGUUCCAGGCCCAAUUAUAGUCUUAUGCCUUGAUAAGUGGAAGGAAAAGCUCAGGUAAGUUUCUCAAGUCCUAAUAUGAGAAUUUUUUCUUGUUCUCUUUCCAAUUUUAAUGUUCUUUAAUUCCUAAAUUUUUAGUAAGAUUUAUGCCUUGUGUGUGCUAAGAUAGUGGAAAUUUGAGUUUUACCCUUUUGAUAUAGUUAACUUAACCACGUAUGUGGCAGUCCAGUUGGUUUAAGCGUAGACGUUGGUAUUGUUGUGCUCCUGAAUUCGAUCUAGGAGAGAUGUUUUACGCCAAAAUGAUAUCAGCGUCGGCCGGAUCCCGAACCUCAGGAUUAAGGUUCUUGGUCCAGAACCUCCAGAUAAUAAUAAAAAAAACAGUUAACUUUUUUUUUCUGUUCAUUGUUUCUAUAUUGCUCACUUUCCAAUAACCUUUCUAAUAUUUAUUUGACUAUAUGUGUUCUUUAUAAAAGUUAUCAUCUCAUCAUCUAUAGACAUUUUUCAUGUAUAUACUUAUAUUUUAAAUGUUUAAAACGAACAUAACUUAUUCGAACUUAUCAUAAAAUAUCUUAAGAGAUACGUUAAAUAAUAUGUAUAUCAUCUUUUUCAAAAAUUAUAAAAAUAAUAAUAAUAAUAAUAAUAAUAAUAAUAAGUAUAUCAUACAAAUUACAUUUAUAGAGUGUACUGCAAGUUUUCUAAGAUUCUUAUUCAAUUUUCCAAUAUAGAGUUAUAUUCAAUAUAUUUUUAAGAAAAGUAUUUUUGUUUGUUGUAUUGAAGUUGUAUAAUACUAUAAUAAAAUCGUAGAAUAACAUGUUACUAGGUGAUUUUUUCGUGCUCAUGUUGUGUUACAAAUAUUUAUAAAAUAAUUAUAUUAUAAUGAUUGAUUGAUAUUUUAUUUUAAAAUUUCAAUCAUUUUUAAAUUAUAUGUAUAAUUUAUAUUGAUAAUAUUACAUUAUUUUAAUUAGAUAUAAUAUUUUGGAUAUGUAGUAUCUUUUUUUUUGACAUCGGAUAUGUAGUAUCUGUUCGGUAUGAUUUCACUUGGGUAUAUUGGAUUGCAUCAAUUUCUUUGAAUCACUUAUAAUAUUUUUAGCUCUCAAAAAAUGAUAUUUUUGAUUAAUUUUAUUAUUUUCAUUUAGUUUGUUUGUCUUAGAUGUAUAUAUAUAUAUAUUUAGAAAAAUUAACUAAACUGUUAGAUUCAAAAAUAGAUUUUUUUAGUAUCAAGAUUAUUUUUGUGAACUUUCUUUUUUUGUGAAACCAUAGUAUAUAUAAAUAUAUUUUCGUUUUUCAAUUCAUUUCAAAAUUUAUAAAUAUUUCCUUUUUAUUAUAUAUGUUAUUUAAAAUAAACAGUACAAGAAAACAUGCCUAUAACGAGGAAAAAUUACGAGGAAAUAUAUCCCUCGUAAAUUUACGAGAAAUUUAUUACGAUUUUACGAAAAAACUGAAUUUCGUCGUAAAGUCGUAGUAAAGUUACAAGGAAAAUGUUUCGUUGUAAUUUACAUGUAAAUUUACGUCGAUUUUAUGAGGAAAGAGAAAAUUUGUUGUAAAGUCCUUGUAACUUUACAAGGCUUUUACGACAAAACAUGUUACCAUUAAUUUUUGUGAAAACGUGUUUUAAGCAUGCUUUACCAAACUGAUACCCUCGGUUUAGAGAUUUUGGAAUAACUUGAUUAGCUGCUAUCAAAGUUACACCUCGUGAACGAAUAGUUGCUAGAGAAGAAUCACUUUUGCAAGAAGAAGUGUGUAUCACUGAAGUGAAAGUAUCUGAACAACAAACUGAUGACAUCCUUCUAAUUGAUGUGGAUAACCGUCAAUAUGAAGAUCUUUUCGACGAUAUGACGGAUGAAGAAAGUGAAGAAGAGUUCGAUGCAAGCGAUGAUAAUCAUUGUACUGAUAUUGUUGAAAACUCGAAUGAUUCAGAAUGAUGUAAUAUAUGUUUUAAAUAUUUUUUAAAAAAUAUAAAUCAGUUUAAGACUUAAUGCAAGUGUAUAUUGUUUGGUUAUAAUAAUUAUUUGUUGGCUUUUAAGGAUUUAAUUGGAGUUUAGGGUUUAAGAGAAAAUAGGAUAAAUGGGAAAAUGGGGGAAUGGGGUAAAAGGGAUAUGAUGUUAUAGGUAAGAGACUUUGGGGGUUAGGGAUUUGAUUUUCAGGGAUUCAGAUAUAGUCGUAGUAAAUUCGUCGUAAUGGAAAACACGGGCCUGGUAUGUUCCUUUUAAUACACGUGUCUUUGUAAAUUCGUUGUAAUCAUUUCCUUAAAAAUUCGUUGUAAAGAUUUCCUUGUAAAUUCAUUGUAAUGCUCCCUUGCAAAUUCGUUGUAAUUCUAAGAACGCGGGCCUGGUAGAUUCGUCGUAAACAUGUGUCCUUGUAAAUUCGUUGUAAUUCUUUCUUUGUAAAUUCGUUGUAAUGCUUUCCUUGUAAAUUCGUUGUAACUUUACAAAGAUUUUUUUGACGAAACAUGUUACCAUUAUUUUUGGUGAAAACGUGUUGAAGCUAUUUUACCAAACUGAUUUUGUUGUAAGCAUUCUCAAGCCAAACAAGUUAACUUCAUUUCACACCCUCGGUUUAGAGAUUACAGAAUAAUUUGAUUAUUUGCUAUCAAGUGGUUGUUUGAUUAUAGUACUUAUAACUUGCGUUUUAAGGAUUCAAUUGGAGUUUAGGGUUUAAGAAAAAAUAUGAUAAAGGGGAUGAUGUGGUAAAAGGGUAUGGUGUAAAUAGAUAAGUGAUUUUGGGGUUUAGGGAUUUGAUUUUCGGGGUUUCAGAUAUAGUCCUAGUAAAUUCGUCGUAAUAGAAAACACACGGGCCUGGUAGAUUCCUCGUAAUACAUGUGUCCUUGUAAAUUCGUUGUAAUGCUUUCCUUGUAAUUUCAUUGUAAAGUUUUUCUUGUAAAGUUGUCGUAAAAUUUUCUUUGUAAAUUCGUCGUAAAUAUUCCAUGUAAAUUCGUUGUAAUUCUAAAAACGCGGACCUGGUAGAUUCCUCGUAACACUAAAAAAGCGGGCCUGGUAGAUUCCUCGUAAAAUUACGACGACUUUACGAGAAAUGUUGUUUUCUUAUAUAAACUCGAAACAUGAAUGAGGAAUGCCUCCUUCAUUCAUCUCAAACCACUCCUCUCCUUCUCUCAAAGGUAUGUUGUUUUUAAUAUUAAUUUAGGUUUAGGUGGUUAGUUUAGGUGGUUAGUUUAGGUAAUUAGUUUAGGUGGUUAGUUUAUGUGGUAAUUUUAGGUAACAAAACUAUAUUCAAAUAUUAGGUUGAGGUAUUUAAACGACUGAUUAGAUAUUUUUUAAAAAAAUUAAAUAUAUUUUAUUUUCUUAUAAUUUUAUGUAAUUAAUUAUAUUAAUAUGUUUCUUUUUUCAAGGUGGUUCCUAAAAAGAUGGAACUGACGGUAUGAAUAAGCUUCAUCAAUGAAGCCACAAGGACGACUUCAUCCUACUCUUCGAGACGGAACCCGUAGAUGAAGUACGAGACUCUCCAGGAAGAAACACCUCCAACAACUACUUCGACGGCGUUCUCCCUUAGCUUUUUAUUUUUCAAUUUUUUUGUUUUCUAUUAUUAAUUUGAAUAUUAUUUUAUGACAUUUAUAUAUUUUUACUUAAAGACGAUUUUACAAGGAAACUAUACGAGUCUUUUACGAUGAAGCGUAACUACGAAACUACGACGAAAUACUCUCUUUCGCUUUUACAACGAAUUUAUUUUGUCGUAAAUGUUACAUGGAAGUUACGACGAAUCUUGCAUUACGACGGGCGUUUUACAACGAAAUGCUAUUCCUUGUUAAUUCGUUGUAACCAUUCUAUUACAACGAAUUAACAAGGAAUAUGACCCUUGUAAUAAAUAUGUUUUCUUAUAGUGAAAAUUAAAAUUUAUAAAUGUUUCUUUUUAUUAUAUAUGUUAUUUGAAUAGAAAGUAAACUAAAUUAGGUAUACUAUUUUAAUUCAUUAAGGGUGUCUUUGUAAACCAUGUUAGAAAUAACGUGAGCCCGACAUGUAAGAAACUGACUUCUUAAUUAAUAUUAUAGAUUUCAAUAUAAAAUCGACAAAUGGCAAUCCAUGUUACUCUUUAGAAAAUUAGACCAUGUUAAAUUGGGGCCGUUAAAUUAACUAUCUUUUUAAAGAAUAAAUUCAUCUCAGUGUUGAUUUUGUAGAUUUUUACUAGGUAGUCCAAGAAUUUAAGCUAUUUAAUUAAUUCUUCGUUGGUAUAACAUAUUAAUUUUUUUUGUUUUUAAUUAUAAAAUGAAAAUAUGCACAAACCCUGCUUUACAGAGGAGGAAAGAAGAACAAGAUUGCCUGGUUAGUCCAUAGCGAGUGGAGGUCUCAUAUCCUCGACUGGGCUCUUCUGAUUUUUGCUGCUUCUGAUAGAUAUAGCCGUCAUGAAAGAGUCUAGUUUGAUUUGGCGGCUUUGAAUUGAACUUUAAAAUUUCAAACACAACUUGAUUUUGGUAAUGUCUGAGAGAGUCCAGUUUGAUUUUGUCUUUGAACCGUAAGGUAUUGAAUAGACUUCGUGUUGCGGAUCAAGUAUCUCAUAUUAGUUCUCAAUAAACAUUCUCUUGUAGUAAGCUUUUCGGCAAAUAAAGGACACUAGAAGCUGAAGAAUGGUCAGAAACGGACAACAGAAAGUAGUGGUGACAAAAUGUCCUCUUGUAAAUAAUAUGUCUUUCAUGCACAACAGUGUUUACGUCAUCUACUACAUCAUUUUGUUGAAGCCUUUUUUUAUCCCCAUUCUUCUUAUAUAACCUCAAGAUCACACACCCACAAUCACUACAAGAAAACAGGAGGAUUCUGAUGGCCGAAAUCGUCGGAAAUUCGUCGCAAUAGACCGAUUCCGACGAACCUGUCCGUCGGUAUCGUUUUGUCGGAAAAAAAAAAUUCGUCGGAAUUUCGUCAGAUCUUCCGACGACUUUCUGACGAAUACCGAGAAACGUCAUUCUGACGAACUUCCGACGAUAUUACGAUGCGGACACACGAGACCAGAGUUCAUCGGAAAAACUAUGUACAGACGGAGAUCGUUCCUCAGACAAUUCCGACGUAUUGGAUUCCUCGGUGUAUUCCGACGAACCAAUAGUCGUCGGAAUAUACCGACGGACAGUGGUCGUCGGAAUACACCGAUGGAUAUUUGUCCGUCGAAAUAUUCCGACGAACCAAUAGUCGUCGGAAUAUACCGACGGACAGUGGUCGUCGGAAUACACCGAUGGAUAUUUGUCCGUCGAAAUAUUCCGACGAACCAAUAGUCGUCGGAAUAUACCGACGGACAGUGGUCGUCGGAAUACACCGACGGAUAUUUGUCCGGAGAGAUGUUUUACGCCAAAAUGAUAUCAGCGUCGGCCGGAUCCCGAACCCAAUCUGUGGACUAGAUAGGAAGUGUUUGGCAAGUAAAUCUAUUAACGUCAUCUCUUACGUCUUGAGUUCAGUUUUUUUUGUUUGCUCUCCGCGCCAGUUUAUUCUAUAUAAGCCCUUACAGAUAUAAUCCAAAAAUCAAACCAAAACUUGAGAGUUUCUUUUUACAGUUCAAUAAUCAGCAUGGGUUCUGAAAUAGCCAACAAAACUUAUCCACUUCACUUUGUUCUCUUCCCUUUCAUGGCUCAAGGCCAUAUGAUUCCCAUGGUUGAUAUUGCAAGGCUCUUGGCUCAGAGCGGUGUGACCAUAACAAUUGUCACCACGCCUCACAAUGCAGAGAGAUUCAAGAAUGUUCUAAACCGUGCCAUUGAGUCUGGUUUGCCCAUCAAACUAGUUCAGGUGAAGUUUCCAUCUCAAGAAGCUGGUCUGCCAGAAGGAAAAGAGAAUAUGGAUUUGCUUGACUCCAUGGAGCUGAUGUUACCUUUCUUCAAAGCUAUUAACAUGCUCGAAGAACCGGUCCAGAAACUCAUAGAAGAGAUGAACCCUCGCCCAAGCUGUCUAAUUUCUGAUUUUUGUGUUCCUUAUACAAGCAAAAUCUCAAAGAAGUUCAAUAUACCAAAGAUUGUCUUCCAUGGCAUGUCUAGCUUUUGUCUUCUAUGUAUGCAUAUUUUGCGCAAGAACCUUGAGAUAUUGGAGAAUUUAAAGUCAGACGAAGAGUACUUCACCGUUCCUUAUUUUCCUGAUAAAGUUGAGUUCAGAAGACCUCAGGUUCCUGUAGAAACAUAUGUUCCUACAGGAGAGUUGAAGAAGUUGGCAGAGGAUAUAAUAGAA
rnacentral:lncRNA from 1 species